rnacentral:tmRNA from 1 species
GGGGGCGAACCGGGUUCGACGGUAGACGCUUCGGCGUCAGUGGCAUGCCGAGGUCGCCGCAGGCCUCGUUAAACAGGCGGCACACAAAAAACGCCGACACUGAGUUGGCUAUGGCUGCUUAACCCGUUUAGCACGGGUUAAGGCUUAACAGCCCGUCCUCGGUGGACCCCGCCUAUCGGUCCGCCCAUAGGGCGUCAAAACUGGUAGGCGCCAAACCCCGGGUGGUUCCUUCCCCGGGCGGAGGCUAUCGCAGAAGGGACUAGCGGUCGGGCCGAGGUUGCCGCGGCCCUGUCCGAUGGCGAAACCCAAGCGCGGCUAAGCAUGUAGAGCUGACUGACCUGGCUCUAUCGGACGGGGGUUCGAUUCCCCCCGCCUCCACCA